AAGAAAUGCACCUUCCCAGGCAAACAGGGAUCAGCUAGAAGACAUGUCGGGAAGCUGCUCGGAUUCUCCCACAACGUAAUCUAGAAAUUAUAAAAACUACUACUGAAGAUACUGUCUCUCCUUAUGGAGUUGCCUUCUUUGUGUCUGCACCUGUCAAGAUCCCACUCUGGAACAGAAGAUCAGAGCAAAUGGGGGCUGAGGAGAACAAAAGCUGCCCCAAACCUUUGACCUAAAUUUAACAUAAAGCCAAAUGAAACCUUAGAGGUUUGUAGAUGUUCAUAAAACAUUUCCACCUCCUGGUCCCCUUUCCUUUAUCUUUGGUUUCUUUAUACUUCUACAUUUAACUGUUUCUAAUUGAAAGUCUAA
rnacentral:lncRNA from 1 species